ensembl:lncRNA
GCCCGACAGAUCAACAUCCACAACCUGACGUCGUUCUAUGACAGCGACGUCUUCCGCUCCAACAAGUUCAGCCACGACGGGAAGAAGAAACUGAUCCUGCAGCAGUUCUGAGCGGCGUCCAAUCAUCAGGAGGAGGGGGCGGGGCUACCAGUAGCUCCAGAAUAAUACUGGAGGAAGCAGACGAGUCAUCUUAUGACCCAGAGUUAACUCAGAGAGGUGGACACUAGUCACGUGACCAUGAGGUCAUGUUGCUUCCAAAAUAAAAGCAGACAUUUAGUAAAAGAACCUCGAUGAAAGGUCGUAAAUGUGAAAAUAAAAGAUGCUCUGAUAUCUGCUUCUUAUUGUAAGUAAUGUACAUGUUGCUGUUUGUGGAUUCAUUGUUUCUGUUGCUCAUUUAAACAGCCGUCAGAUGUUUCCAUAUUAAAGUUGUUUGUUAAACAUGUCGUGUAUUGAUUGCUGAUGUAAGUUCAAGGUUUAAACUGAUCAUUGUGUUGAGUUUAUGGACAUUAACAUGCAGCUUCUUAUAAGUUGACCUAAAUUAAAACUUCUAUUUCCAACAAAUUAAACUUUUACUCGACAUUUGUUCUUUUAAAUUACAUUAGCUGUUGCAUUUCAAGUCCUUUGUUUAAAGUGAAAGUGGAGCUCAUUUCAAUGACUUUAUAAACUGCUGUUGGAACUUUGCGAGCAGCACUUGAACGCAUCUGUCCGCCGCAGCAGAAACAGCGACUCCCGGCGGAGAGACACGGAACUACAGGCUGCAGGAGGACGCGGAUCCGAUCUGUCCCUCAGUCCGCCUGUCUCUCUGCCUGUCUGUCCCUCAGUCCGUCUGCCUGUCUCCGGACACCGCAGUGAGUCCGCACGCCGCAGACAGGACAGUCACUGCGGCCUGAGGUCUGUCUUCCAUCGGUCUCCUCCGACAUCCGGAGAGAUCCGACCACUGCGAGCCGAGGAAGAGGAGGAGGAGGAGGAGGAGGAAGCACUGCAGCAGACAUGCCGGGCCCGCGCUGCUGCUGCUGCUUCUUCAUCACCACGCUGACCGCUCUGCUCUCCAGCAGCAAUGCCUUCUCGCUGGGUUUGCCCCGGCAGGUCAAACCCCUCGGCCCCCCGCUGGUCUACCUCCUCCAGGAAGAAGGUCCCACCCAGCCUCGCUCCAUCCAAAAAGUACACCGGACCAAACGCAACUCGGUGCAGGAGUUAGUCCAAACCCAGCCUCAUCAGGGCCAGUACACGGGCCGACCGGAGACCCACAAAGCGUCCCGCUCUCAGGAGAUGGACACCGCUGACCUCCAGCUGCUGUCCCAACCCGCUAUGGAGGAAAACCUCGGGGUGGAGGACGAGAUGGAGCGUAUGAUUCACCUGGUGGUUCCUCAGAAAGAACCAAGCUACAGGGGACCUCCUGACUCCUCAGACCCGGAGAAAGAGCCCCUCGCUGGACCGGGAGCCGGGGACGCCUCCCUGGAGGCCUCAGGCUACUAUGGAACAGACAUGGAGGACAGAGACCGAGGAGAGGACGAAGGAGAGGACAGAGAGAGAAGAGGAGGAGAGGAGUGGGAGAUCGACGUGGGCGAGGACAAGGAGAGGACAGGAGAAGACGAUGACACUCACACGAGCCCAGAUCAGGAGGCUCUGAUUGGCUCCAGACGCUCCAACCACACCGGCCCCCCAGCCGAGGGCCGUGACCCCGGGCUACAGGAGCAGCGUGGAGCCCUGGUCCUGAAGGUAAGAACAUCUGUACACAUAUAUAUAUAUAUAUAUAUAUAUAUAUAUAUAUAUAUGUAUAUGUAUAUAUAUAUAUGA